GUAGGUGGCAAGCGUUGUCCGGGAAUUAUUGGGGCGUAAAGCGCGCGCAGGCGGUUCUUUAAGUCUGAUGUGAAAGCCCACGGGCUCAACCGUGGAGGGUCAUUGGAAACUGGAGAACUUGAGUACAGAAGAGGAAAGCGGAAUUCCACGUGUAGCGGUGAAAUGCGUAGAGAUGUGGAGGAACACCAGUGGCGAAGGCGGCUUUCUGGUCUGUAACUGACGCUGAGGCGCGAAAGCGUGGGGAGCAAACAGGAUUAGAUACCCUGGUAGUCCACGCCGUAAACGAUGAGUGCUAGGUGUUAGGGGGUUUCCGCCCCUUAGUGCUGCAGCUAACGCAUUAAGCACUCCGCCUGGGGAGUACGGCCGCAAAGGCUG
rnacentral:rRNA from 1 species